UUAAUGUUUAAUCCACUACUUGAAGCAGUUUUUUCAUUCUCGUCUCUGUACUAAACUGAAAGAAAUGGAACUAAGAUCCUGUAGCUUGAAUUCGCUGAGCUUUUGUUUUGAGGUUGAACAGUGAAUCUUAGAAAGCUUGUUUUUCAUUUGUCCUGAAACCUUGCCCCUCCUGCCUCUUGCUUUUCAUGCCAAUAAAAGCUCCUGUGUUAUGAGGAAGUGUGCAGCAAUCUGGUCUGGAUGAAGAAAAUACCUGAGAAAACCCAAGAGGAAUAUUUGCUGUGAAAAUUUCUCUCAUGAGAUUGUUUUAACUUUCUAUUAAAAAACUGCUUUAAAAAUAAAAUAAUGUUAAAUCAUGCUGGGAAAACCAAUUUCAAUGUGAUAAAACUCCUACAGUGUGAUGCAAGAACCACUCAAUUCAACUGCAAGAGGAAGGGCAUAUUAUUUAAUCAAGCAGAGGGCUAGAGAACAGCAUCAACUUUAUGUUCUCAUUAAAUAAAAAAAUGGUACCUGAACUGCAGAGGUAGCAACUCCUCUGAAAGGCUGAGCCAACAGGAAAGAGAAAGUCAGCAGUGGAUAAGAGAAAUCUGGGAUUCCUUCACAGGAAAAAGGAAGCAGCACAGACCCUACAGUGACCUUACUGCUGGCUGAUUCCAGAGAGCCACCUUGUUGCUCUGAGUUGGAGUUUCUCCAUCUCGAAAAUCAGAGGAAGAAAGCACAUCACAGUCCUGCUCUGACAACAUAGGCCCAGGGAAAUGAAGAAGAGCAAUUUUUGUAUUAUUGUAAACUGCAAAAAGUUCUCGUGAACUUUCAGCUAUGAGUCCGUAUGGGAAUAAUUUCAUUGUGAGAAGGCUGCUUCCAUUCUAUCCUGAAAAAAAGCUGCACGGAAAUCACAGAAGUCUACAGAAGAAAGUACCAGUCAUUGUUUGAGAGCAUUGUGGCCUAUGGAGAUGGAAACCAGAACAUGGAUUUGCCUCCAAACUUUAAAAGCUUCUAGAAACAUGAAUGAAUGAGAAACAAAUGCAAAAAGUUUGCUUAAAAAAAAAAAAAUCUUAAAUCCUUGUUGCUUUUACAAUGAACAGACCUGGCAAAAAGAACGUUAAUUAUAUUGAAUAUCAUUGUUUAAACAGGUAGUGCUAUUCCCAGUAUUUUUUGCUUGCCACCUAGAUUAGUGUUACUCCUCAGUUGCUAACAAUGAAGUUAACAGCCACUGGAACAAAUUAUGAAGAGAAACAGUGAGCUUACCAUUUCUUGAAGUCUGCAAACCAAGAGAGGUUGUUAUGCCUUAGCAAACAAUGGAUACACAGCUGGGUGAAUUUAUGUUGUUGUACUACAGAGAAGUACAUGAAAUAUCCUAUGUGGUCUUUUCUAGCUUUAAGAGCCAUACUCUAUAAUUUCACAAAUACCUUACAAAGAACUCCUUAGAAGUAGUGAUAACCAUAGCACCAAUCUGAAUCCAUCUCCUGAUUUGGGGUUGAUUAUGCUACAGUAUUUAAAAAAGUAUGGACUGUAAUGUUUCUACAUGUUUCUGUCGCAACAACUCAUAUUACUAGCAUAAUUUUAUAAUAUUGGAAAUUUGGUUUUGGAGACUAAAGAGACCCUUCCUCUUCCCCAAAGAGCAGAAUGUGCUUCAGUUAAUAAAAGAGUGUAUAAACAAGCACAGAGGCUGCUGCUUCCCUAUCUGAUCUACUGCAGUAAAUAAAAUCAAUAACCUAGACUUACUGAAAUAAAACACAUCCCAUGAAGGAAAUCCAAAGAUAUUUCUCAUUAUUGUAGAUGAUUUCUAAGCUAAACUUUAAUUUUCCUCUCAUUGUAGGAUAAUCUAGCAUACUGUUUAAAACAAGGUUUUUUUUUCCUAUAGCAGUCCUCCAGUUGAAAAAGAGCUUUUUUACCCCCUCCAGAUUUCAAGACUUUUGGGGCAUCAGUCACUGCAGAAACUUAAAUGCAGUGGGACAGUUGAAAGUUUGGUAAAGAUGCGCCUGACUGAACAGCUGGACAUGAGAAAAAAUAGUUCUUCAGUGCUGAGUGGGUUUGGCAGCACAGCUAGGACUGCAUAGCUGGGAUGUCCUAGAUAAUCCUAGAAGAUCUGAAAAAACAUGGUGGUAUAGCUUUUCAACUAUUUCAGGGAAAGGUGAUGAUUUUGGUCCAAAAUGGAUAGGCAUAAUUCCAGAGGGAGUUUUUUAGGUUUUAGGUUGUAGUCAGUGGCUAGUUACCUUUGUGUCUGUGUCUAAACUCCCUUAGUGGCCAUUGUCUUCUACAUAUGCAUGCUAUGCCUAAAUAAAUAUCUCAGCUGUCCCUCAGGUGGAGGCCCGUCAUCAAGGCUUGCUUUAGCCAAAUGCAUGGUGUCAGUCAGAUACAGUGAUGGGAGCGCAAUAUGAGAGAGCCCAGAGGAAAUUGGAUAGUUUGUCAUAUAGAAGCACUCAGAUUGCUUUAUCAAGCAGUCUUUUCUGGUCUUAACUUGCAUAAAUUUAUAACCCGCACUGAUUCAAAUAAGUUCAACUUUCUCUCGUUACUGUGUUUUGUGCCUUUCUGAAAAGAUGAUUGGAAAAGAUGGAUGUUGAAAAAGAGCAGUAGCCUCUAACUGAUCUUAAGUUUUUCAAAUAUAUUAUCCUUUAAAAAACUCCCAUAAUCUAGUCUGGCAUAAUUGUUCCAGCAACAACUGUUACUAAUCUAUUUUCCAUGCAAUGGCCAUAGUAAAAUAUAGGUGUGUAUAGUUAAUGCUUUGAUUUCAUUAAUCUAAAAGAACAAUUUGGGGUUGUUUUGGUUGAAGGAACUCCUCCAUUUUAUUCCCCUUAGGACUAGCUGUGUGGCUUUCUUCUAAAAAGUGUAAUAAUAUAAAUAAUAUAAAAGAAGUCUCUAAACAUUUAAAAGACUGGAGAACUAGAUUAUGUUUCCAUUCAUCAGCAGGGUUCUCAUAAGUAAUUUUUGAGCUGCAGUGCAAGGAAACUGAGAAGAGAUUGAACUGCUAAUGUUCCCUUUGCUGUGUGGAUAUACAGAACACAGUUUUUUUGCCCCACAAGGAUUCUGUUGAUUUUGAA